GCAUCUUCUCACAGAUUGGUGAAUGUGUGGCCAUUUCAUGGAGGCCAAACUUUGAGACAAUCUUGAAUCCAUAUUGCCUUCCCCACCUAACUAAACCUAAGUAGGGAUGGCAACGGUAGGGUACCCGCGAAAUUGAGAGUACCCAAAUCCGAACCCGAAUAUAUGUAAAAUUCCCGAACCCGUUCCAAACCCGUUUAGUAUUUUAAUUUUAAUACCCGUACCCGUCCCAAAUCCGUUUAACAAUACCCGAACCCGACCGAAUCCGAUUUUUUUACUAAUUAUCCACCGUUUCUGCAAAGAAACAGGAAAGUGCAAAUCAGCCACAAAGUAACCAUAAACACGAAAGUACAAGAAGCUGUGGGUAAAAAAUAACCAUCACAAUAAUUUUCUUUCUUGCCAAACAGAAAACGAGAAAUCAAAUUACACAAUAAACAAAUUUAGCUCAAGACAUCUAAAAUCUUGAAACAAAUUAAAAAUAUAGCUAAAUUUACAACAGAAGCAUAGAAACUAGACGACGAUAACCAGAAACGAAGAUGGUAAUUACAGGAUCAAAGAGAAUAAAUUGAUCUCGAAAACAGGUUAAGUGAUUAAAGAUACAAAAGAAAAGAAAAUGUGAAAACGUGUGGUACCGCAUGAACAAGAAGCAAAAUUAUAUGGGGAAAAUGAGAGAAAGGUGAAAUGAGCGGAUCGAGAGAUAGAGAUAAUAUUAAUAUAUAUCGACCAAGAAUAGCGUGAUAUUUAUAAGAAAAGAGAGGUAAAAGAACCGGCAUUAAGCUAGUAGAGAGUUGAGACGUACUCUUUCUCCGGCGAGGUGGUGAGAACUGAGAAAUGGCUUUCUUCUCGCUUUCUCACUCUCACAGCUUCCUCUCCCUCUCUCUCUCCCGACGUCGACGUUUGGCGUGUGGCGCCUUUAUGCUGUUAGUCCGCUAUUGGACUAGAAUUGAGAGAGAAGAUUUAUCAUCGCUUAAGAGAUAAACGAGACGCCGUCGGUGCUCACUGGACUGCCGGCGGUCGUCAGUGAAAUGGGGGAGAAAGGCGAUUGGAAAUUAUGGGAAGGGAGGCAGAGGCGCCGACGGAGAGAGAGAGCUGUGUAUGACCGAGUAAAAUGAAAAAAUAAAUAUUAGGGAUUAGGGUUAGUGUUGUUAGUAUAGGUAUCCGGGUUCGGGUAACGGUUAUCCAAUCACUUAAGUCCGAACCCUACCCGAAUCCGAGACGGGUAAAAAUUUUCAAAUCCGAAUCCGCCCAAAUCCGUUUUGUAAGAACCCAAAUUCGUCCUAAUAGGGUUUGGACGGAUCGGGUACCCGUAAAAACCCGCUCGCCUGCCAUCCCUAAACCUAAGGUUACCAAACUGAAGAAUACAAAUUUUCCUGUCUUAUUUGGGUUUUUGCUUUCCUCCUUGUAUGGAUUAUACUGAUCUGCUUUUGUCCCCAUCAUUGGUAACACAUGAACGCAAGAAGCUUUCCUUGUUCAUUUACCUGAAAGAUAACUUUGCUGGACCCAAAAAUUUAAAACUCCUUGCUGUCCCAUUGUUUGAACUCUAUGACAAUGGGUAGAUGCUGACGCGGAACCCUAUGGCACAAGCCUCAAACCCACACGCACAAGUAGAUAUGGAAUCCAUAGAUUUGAUAAACUCACCUCCUAUGGCACCCCAAACUUAGAGAAGCUGAAACACCAAUGAUCGAAAGAUUUAGAUGAGAAUCCGACAAACGCCACAACGAAUAGUUGAUAAGUUAGCCAAGAUUCUUGGUGCAAUUGAUGAAAGCAAAUCCUCACUCUCACUCUCACUCAAAGCAAUACACGCCAAAGGCAUGAAAAAAAUUCUGAAAUAUUUAAUUAAAAGCUGUCUCUUACAAUUGUUUCUUAUCCUUAUAUAGUAAGGAGAAAAACAAAUAAAACCCUAAGACACUCUUCUUGGACCUGACUUAAACACAUAAGGCCCAAACCCAAUCACACACUAAAAUAACACAUAAGUAUUAAAAUAUAAGCCCAAAACAUGGCCCAACACUCUAAAACUUAAAAGAUAAAGUAUGACCAGAAUACAAGCCCAAACAAAGCUAAAAUAAAACAAGUGUUAAAUAAUAAAAAUAUAGCAAGCCCAUCAUAACAAAGCUGAGUCUUCACAAAAGUCUUACUUGAUCUUCACUUUAGGCUUCUCUUUGUGUAGUUUUAGCCCAUAGGUUUGAUUAGGCUCCCUAAGCCUAUGAUUGCAAGUAUUGCACCAAAUCUGUCCCAUAUGAGUUGAAGCACGCCCCAAAUAUAUAUGGAUCAUAUGAAUAUGAUUUUGAACUCCUUUUAGAUCCAUUUGAAUGACAUAAGUUUGCUCCACACCAUUGUUAGAAAUUUGCCCUAUUGAAUCCGUAUCGUUCUCUCCUUCUUUAGAAAAGAUUCGUCCUCGAAUCUUGCUGAUAUUUAUGUCAAAAAGGGAAGUUUUAGGAACCCAUGUGUCUUCAAAGACCUCCUUUUGAAUAGGUGGAAAUAGGAUAAAACUUUCGUCAUGAAUGUUUUCAUCAACAACCUGCACAUCAAGAACAAAUGAACUAGGCAUAAAAAUAUUAGUCAUAGAAAGAUCUUGUGGAUGUGACCCAUUCUCCUCUACAACUUCCAAAACAGUCUCAUUCACCUCCUCCACCUCAUCAAUCACGUGCUCCCCAUGUCCCUCGUCAUUCACAACCUCUUCUAUAAGUUCAUUGAUGGAAUUCUCAACAACAACUACAUUAGAUUCAUGCAUUACAACUUCCUCUUCAAUUUCAAUCUCUAUGGAAGUUGAGAUUGGAACUUUAGCCUCUUCUUUCUCCUUUUCUUUCUCCACCUUUCCUCCUUGAACUAGUCUUGAUUCUUUCCCAGCCUCUUUACCCUCAAACUCACUCUUUUCUCUCAUCUUUUCCGCAGAAUUCAAGCUCUCACUCCCCUUUGUGGCCAAGGCCGAAGCCUCCCUCUCCCUCUCCAGCAUCUUUAUUUGAUCAACAUAUACCUCUUGAGGUGAUAAAGGAGCGAGUAUAACCUUUUGUCCUUCAUGAGUGAAGGAGUACUUGUUAUUGAACCCAUCAUGUUGCACCUUUCUAUCAUGUUGCCACGGCCUACCCAAUAACAUAUGGCUUGCCUGCAUAGGUACCACAUCACACAAUAUCUUAUCCUUGUACCUACCAAUAAAAAAUGGUAUAACCACCUGGCGUGUAACCUUAACCUCACCACAAUCAUUCAACCAUUGCAAUCUGUAUGGCUUAGGGUGUUCAAUAGAAGCCAAGCCCAAUUUCUCCACCAUAUACACACUAGCCACAUUUGUACAACUACCUCCAUCAAUAAUGAGAGUACACACUUUUCCAUUAACCAAACACCUAGUGUGAAAUAUGUUUUCCCGUUGUUCUAGGCUUUCUUUCUUAACCUGCAUAUUCAGAGCACGCCUAGCAACAAGCAUCUCACAAUGUGCAGCAAGCAACACAUUAUUAACCAACACAUCCGAAUCAUCACAGUCAUUAUUGCAAUUAGGAGUUUUUUGAGGUAUUCUUGUAGAAGUGGAAGCUUGUGAGACAUUCAAACUCUCCAUAGUUUCAGUCAACCUCUCAAGAGUCUUAUUGAGCCUUUGUAACUCACCACUGACUGACUUCUUAAAGAGCUUAUAAUCGUUACCCAUAUUCGAUUCACUUCCAUCAGUACGAUCCACCACAUUCUUGUCUUUACUCAUCCUACCUUAAAUCAACAAAGAACAAAAAGAACUAGCAAAUAUUGUGUUAAAGAAAUACUCAAGUGUUUGCACUCUUACCAUUCUUUUGUUGAUUCUUCAAUUGCACUUCAGAAACUAAGGUCAACCAACUAACCACAAGGUGCGUUUAAUGAAACAAAGAAGAAAUCCUAAAGAAAGAAGGAAGCGCGCAAAAACUAGAAAGAAGAAACUGACAAUUUGGAAAGUAACACAUGAAUUAGGUUUUGUGUUACUUGAAAAAUAUCACCUAGAGUAUAGACACAAGCAAACAAUACUCCAGCAAUGUAAAGGAAGCAAAAGCAAGCUUAAACCAAAAAAGAAACUUAGAAAUCAAAUAAAAACGAACUUGGACAAAAAAAUAUUGCAUUUAAUUCACUUCAACGCAAAUUAAAUAUGGAUCUACUUAAAUCUACCCAAAAAGGAAAGUAUCAAAACCCCACAAAUAGAAUCUGAAAAGAAAAAUGUAAAUUUCUCUCAGAUCAGAAACAUGGACGAAAAUUCUGGUGUUACAAGAAGGAUUUGACAUCAAAUCAAUUUAGAUGCAAUUGCCCUAAAUGUGCACUUUAGGAAAUAGCAGGCAGAAUUUCUUUUAUCUCCUAAUCUGGAUUCAACCAAAUUCAAAAUUCAAAAUUCAAAUUGAUUCCCAUAAAUUACUGCAAUUAAUUAAGAUAGGUAAGGCAAUAUAGAUGAAAAAGGAAGCAUAUCAUAAUUUCGGCUAGAUCAAGGUAAAUAAGGCAAAGGCGAUGUUUUUUUUUUUUUUUUUGGAUUUCGAUUUUUUUUUUUUGAUGAUUAAUAAUCAAGAAGAUGCAGUCAUGGACACACAAGCUUUCACCGAAAACAACAAGGAAGAAAAUAAAAACUCAAAAACCCUAGAUCCUAAGAUAAAUCAGAAUUUACCUCACUUUGGCUCUGAUACCAACUGACGCGGAACCCUAUGGCACAAGUCUCAAACCCACACGCACAAGUAGAUAUGGAAUCCAUAGAUUUGAUAAACUCACCUCCUAUGGCACCCCAAACUUAGAGAAGCUGAAACACC
rnacentral:lncRNA from 1 species